rnacentral:rRNA from 1 species
UCGAACGCACUCUUCGGAGUGAGUGGCAGACGGGUGAGUAACGCGUGGGAACCUUCCCAAUGGUACGGAAUAGCCCAGGGAAACUUGGGGUAAUACCGUAUAAGCCCUACGGGGGAAAGAUUUAUCGCCAUUGGAUGGGCCCGCGUCUGAUUAGCUUGUUGGUGAGGUAAUGGCUCACCAAGGCGACGAUCAGUAGCUGGUCUGAGAGGAUGAUCAGCCACACUGGGACUGAGACACGGCCCAGACUCCUACGGGAGGCAGCAGUGGGGAAUAUUGGACAAUGGGCGAAAGCCUGAUCCAGCCAUGCCGCGUGAGUGACGAAGGCCUUAGGGUUGUAAAGCUCUUUUGGCGGGGAAGAUAAUGACGGUACCCGCAGAAUAAGCUCCGGCUAACUUCGUGCCAGCAGCCGCGGUAAUACGAAGGGAGCUAGCGUUGUUCGGAAUCACUGGGCGUAAAGCGCACGUAGGCGGAUUUGUUAGUCAGGGGUGAAAUCCCGGGGCUCAACCUCGGAACUGCCUUUGAUACUGCAAAUCUCGAGUCCGAGAGAGGUGGGUGGAAUUCCUAGUGUAGAGGUGAAAUUCGUAGAUAUUAGGAAGAACACCGGU